UACGACCAUAUUAAGUUGAAACAUCAAUUUCCGUACGAUCACCGAAGUUAAGCAAAGUUGAGCUUGGUCUGUACCUAGAUGGGUAGCCGCUUAGGAAUAUCAGGUGCUGUAA